UUUCCGUUGGUGAACCAGCGGAAGGAUCAUUAACAGAGAUCCUGCCCCUUUGGGGUAGACCUCCCACCCUGUGUUAUGUACUAUUGUUGCUUUGGCAGGCCGCUCUAGAGCGCUCGGCUUCGGCUGAGGUGCGCCUGUCUGAAGAAUUCAACUCUGUAGUUUAGUGAUGUCUGAGUCCUAUUUAAAAUUCAUUUUAAAACUUUCAACAACGGAUCUCUUGGUUCUG
rnacentral:misc_RNA from 1 species